UUCGCAAUGAACUGAGAUGGCCAUUCAGGGCACGAUAUUGAACUUUAAUGAUUUCUGAUUGCCCUGGCCUUUCCUCCAGAGCCCUAGGCACUUUAUCAAGCACCUGCCAGGACUCCCGAGGUCUCUCUGUCUUGCUCACUUUCGUGUUUUGGUCUUGAUUUAGGGCCGCCGUAAGGGUGCACCUUCUGUUCUCUGGAGUGGUUCUUUGUGCUGGCACAAUAACCCUCGUUUAAACUUUGUGGAACUGACAAACCCUGGGUCCAGACAGAAUCCCAUGCGGAAGCCCAGUCUGAAAAAGAGACAUGCCUAGGGGCGCCUGGAUGGCUCAGCCGGUUAAGCGUCUGCCUUGGGCUCGGGUCAUGAUCCCAGGGUCCUGGGAUCGAGCCCUGCAUCAGGCUCCCUGCUGAGAGGGGAGUCUGCUUCUCCCUCUGCCUGCUGCUCCCCUUGCUUGUACUCAUUCUGUCAAAUUAAUAAAUACAAUUUUUUUUUUUUUUUUUUUUUUAGAGAGCAAGAGACAUGCCCAGAGCUACUUUGGUCUUUGCUGGUGGUGGUGGAAGGGGACCGAGGAAGUCACUCCUAACCUUUGCACCCCCUGGGAGAUGUCUGACGAUCCAGGGGCUCCCCUGAGGGUUUUCAAGAAGCUGUUUUUGUGUCAAACCUGCCUCCCCACCCGCUAGCUCCCCAGACACAUUCCUGAGCCUUAGCUCUGUGUUUCAUGCUUUGCUCCACUUUCCUUUUUAACAAUCACCAUUUCCAACUUAAUCUUUCACAUUGACUCGUACCUUAUUCUUUAUGCUUCCUUGAGGGUCUGCAGAAAUCUGGGCAGAUUUGAUUUAAAAAAAAAAAAAGCUAUUUAUACUUAGGGACUGUGAAGAAGCCAGGAAAGAAGUGUUUGGGAUUUUUAAAAUACACAUAUGGGCUUCUUUUUAUUUAUUAACAGCUUUUAUACAUUUUCAAUAUUAUUCCUUAAAGCAGCUGUUUCUCCGAGUUCUCUUUCACACCUGCCUGUCACUUCGGAUUUCCAUUUGUUAAUUUACAAAUCUGAAGUAGGAAGUGAUAAAGGCAAAGUACAAGGAAGAAGAUAAUUUUAAAACACCAGGGAGGGAAAACUGCACAAGAGUAUUCAUUUCCAAGGUAAAAUAAACUAGACAUAUCCAGGGUUCCUUUUCCGUGACACUCAAUGUUUCAGUGACAUAAAUGGCUCAGUAUUUGAUGGCAUUUAAGGGAAGAGAACUGAUUUGCCCUUGACUCUUGGAAUGUCCCCUCGGAGAGGCAUGCCUGCCAUAGGACAGAUUUCCUAUUCUGUGCAUCCAGUCAGCCUGCCCUGGUCCUUCAUUAAACACUGUUUAUUUAAACAUGACUUUGUAAACUGUUUUCCCUUGUUAAAAUCAAAAACAGAGCCAGCCUUGAAAAUUCCCUGAGCAGAUGAAACCAGUUUAGUCACACAAGCAAAGCUUAAUUCAUUUAAUUUUGCAAGGCUAACUUGACCUGGGUUAUUUCUUGCUUGUGCCUCUGGAAAUCAUGAGCAAAACUUAAACUGCUCUCCUUGGCUGAUAUGAGCUAACCACUGGCCAAUUCCCUAUCAUCUGGGAGAAUUCUAAUAUUGCAAACAAUUGCUGUGAAGAAUGAACAGUCACUGCUUUCUCAUUAGAUAAGCUGCUUUAUAACCGUAUCACCCCCAAGUCUCAGUCUGUGUUUUGGUUUGUGUGCUCCCAGUUUGCAAACUGUCUUUUUACUAAUACAUUUUUACUAAUUACACGUCAGUGAUUCACCAGUUUCACUUUGGCUAUUUCUGAACCUUUGAUGUGGUUUAGACAAACUUGAUAAAAUAACCCAGUUCACGGAACUUGAAGGCAGAGGGAGACCGGGAGGAAUUUUCAGGGGGGCAUACACAUUGGUAAGUGAAAAGCCAGUAUCUAAAGAUAAUGGAUCAAGAAACCACAGUUGAGGCGUGGUACUAAAGUUCUAAAAGUAAGCAAAAUAAGAACCAGUCAUUAAAAAACACAGCCAACAAAAUCAGGAGGAGGGGGUCGGAGGAGGCGGCGGAAGUGAAUCCAACUGUAUGUUUCACGUUGGUUGUUAGUAACUCAUUGCUUAAAACCAAGAAGUCGUGAAGCCGAGGUAGACGCAUGCUUGGGAGCCUCAAGACAGCACAGUAGGGCUGACACGGGGAGUCCAGGCGGCUUACCUAGAGCAGGGGCGCCGGGGGUGGGCCCCGAGACUGUAUCUCCAUACCGUUUGAAUUUGGAUGGUUUCAUGCAACAUCGUUUACAUGUCUCC
rnacentral:lncRNA from 1 species